rnacentral:lncRNA from 1 species
AUAUUAUACUAUAAAAGAGAAAUAAAUCAAAUUUAGUAAACAAAAUAGAAUAAUAUUUAAGAAAAGCAUAAAAGACCAGAUUGCUGAAGCCCUAUUAGAGAACAGAUCAGAAAUAAAAUAAAAUAAACUUAAAACUGAUUCACACAUGAAAAGAUGAAAAACUAAUUGAUUUAAAAAAGUGGAAAUAAAGAAAGCUGGACUCCUAAGAGUAAAAAUAUGAAGGAGCACUAAAAAUUUAGUAAAAUAAAUAAUUUGUCUUGAUUUGUGUUUCUAGGCUUAAAUACGUUCAACAAUAUAUGUUCGGUCCUUUUCCCCUCUGUUUUUUAUAGUAUCUCUCUUUUUUUCUGUAUUUAAAAGCAUGGUGCAUUAAAUAUGCCUAUCAAGGAGUAGACACCAUUUACAAUAACAUAAAGUUGGCAGAUAUGCAUAGGUACCAAAAAUACAAAUAACACAACCUCAUCACCCACCAAUAUAUUAAUAAAAAAAUAUUUUAAGCAUCUAAAUAUGAUUAUUAUCCAAAUUACUAAAACUAAGUCACAUCAUAUUUGAAUCCCACUUGCCACGUUUUCGAAAGAGAUAUGGAUUCUACAACAUCAAAAGCUGCAGCCACCUUCAUUGAAUAAGAUUGCCAGUGAUUCUUGUAGCAACAAAUCAUCAAAAUUCUCUACAGAAGUCCUAAUUUGCCAUCUGCAUUAAGUGUGUGUGUAUGAGAGACAAGCAUUGAUGUAAAAUGGAUGAAUCUAAUUUUUCCUAUUCAAACACAAACACAUAACUUCAGCAUCUUGGAAAAAAAUAAGUGGGAUUUCAUGGAGCAACAAGUGCAAUAAGAGAGCACCGCUCAUCCAAAAGUGUAGUGAUUCAACGACGAAAAUCACAUUGAACAUCUGCAUUAAAUAAAGUUAAUAACAAAGGCAGACCUCAUGAUACAUGAAUUACAGAAUCUUUUCCUUGGAUACUAAUUAGAAAUAUGAAAUCAAACUAUUGUAAGAGACUGCACAUGUAUAUCGGCCAGAAAAAUAAAGCAGAUAAUAAAAAUUACAAUAACUGCAUUCACAAGCAAGCUAGGUGAAGCAAACAAAGAUAAAUACACAGAUGAAGCCAUCUGAACACAAAUAAGAAGUAUUUACUUCAUUCACCAACCCAAGUACCAAAUGUUUCAAAGAAGUAUCAGCAAACAAAUGGAAGCAGACAAUUAACAAAACAAAAAUGCUUACAGACACUAGCAUAUAGAAAUUCCCCUGUUAACCACACUGCUUACACCUCUGCGUGAACCAAAUGAUUGCAUAACAACAGAACAAAUAGACAAAACCCCACUCAAACACAUAAAUUAAACUCCAAAUCCCACUCAAGCCAAGAAAAGCAAAAGCAGCAAAGAAUUGAGAAUUCAUCCCAAUCAUCACGUGAUAGUGUAGAAGAUUAAAAUCAAAAACUGUCAAAAGAUCAAAAAGAAAUAUCCUUUUGAAUGCCAGAUGCAAAUCAAGGGGAAAACAGAGAAUAAUAUGAAAGAUAUAUCAACAAUAAAGUAAACCCACUUCAAUCACUAAAAAAUAUCUCACAGAGACUAGAAACUCCACAAGAAUGCAAACAUCAUCAGACAUGUUAACAAUUCAAUCGAAACUAAACAAGGAAUUUUUAUAAAAUCAUAGGAACAAUUAGUUCUAUCAACCUAUUCAUAAGGAAAAUGAUCUAACACCAUGUUCAGCAAAAUCUAUUUAAAUUGGCAUAAAAACAAACCCCAAGAACGAAAAUAAAUCAUCAAAACUAGAACUAGAUGAUCAUCACAAAACUAGAACCCAACAAAUCAUAGCUAGGACACGAAAUAACACGGAGAUCACCGCCUAACCCUAAAACCAUAUUAGAAAUCAAGAACCGACCAAACCCGAACUCGAAACCAAGAACAAUCACUGGAAUCCUAAGAACACCGAGACCAAACUAGAAAACAAGAAGAUAUAACCCUAAAACCAGACUAGCAAUCAAGAACCAACUAAAACCGAACCGGAAACCAAGAACCAUCUCAGCAAAACAAAGAACGCCGAAACCAAACUUGAAAACAAGAAACAAGUAAUCAGUAGCCGAAUCAAGAAUGCAAGAGAGGCGAAAAGAUACGAAAUGGGAACGGAUCGCUUGCCUCCACGUCGCCGUUCUCGUCUUCCGGAGGUGGCCGAGGCUGAUAGCGGGAUCGCCGCUGCAGGGGCGCAAAGAAAAAGGCCGACUCCAGGGUUGUGACUGCCCGGCUCGCCAUCCUUUCAAGCCACUCGCGCGAAAGAGAGCUCAGGUUCUCCAUAUCAAGGCGGUCCGAUCGCCAGAUCCCGGUUGGGAGAGAAGGGGAGACCGUCGGAGGGAGGAUAAAAGUCCCCACAUAACCCUUCAAGCCUCUCGCGCGAACGCCGAAAUAAUCUCAGGUUCUCGAUCGCCGAAUCCUGAUGGAUCGUUGGGAUAGAACGGGAGAGUGAGAGGGAAGAUAAAAGUUGCGAAAAAG